GAAGUAAAAGUCGUAACAAGGUUUCCGUAGGUGAACCUGCGGAAGGAUCAUUAAAUAAUCAAUAAUUUUGGCUUGUCCAUCAUUAUCUAUUUACUGUGAACUGUAUUAUUACUUGACGCUUGAGGGAUGUUCCAAUGCUAUAAGGAUAGGCACUGGAAAUGUUAACCGAGUCAUAAUCAAGCUUAGGCUUGGUAUCCUAUUAUUAUUUACCAAAAGAAUUCAGAAUUAAUAUUGUAACAUAGACGUAAAAAAUCUAUAAAACAACUUUUAACAACGGAUCUCUUGGUUCUCGCAUCGAUGAAGAACGUAGCAAAGUGCGAUAACUAGUGUGAAUUGCAUAUUCAGUGAAUCAUCGAGUCUUUGAACGCAACUUGCGCUCAUUGGUAUUCCAAUGAGCACGCCUGUUUCAGUAUCAAAACAAACCCUCUAUCCAACUUUUGUUGAAUAGGAUGACUGAGAGUCUCUUGAUCUAUUUUGAUCUUGAACCUCUUGAAAUGUACAAAGGCCUGAUCUUGUUUGAAUGCCUGAACUUUUUUUUAAUAUAAAGAGAAGCUCUUGCGAUAAAACUGUGCUGGGGCCUCCCAAAUAACACAUCUUUAAAUUUGAUCUGAAAUCAGGUGGGAUUACCCGCUGAACUUAAGCAUAUCA
rnacentral:rRNA from 1 species